rnacentral:rRNA from 1 species
GAUGAACGCUGGCGGCGUGCCUAAUACAUGCAAGUCGAGCGAACAGACGAGGAGCUUGCUCCUCUGACGUUAGCGGCGGACGGGUGAGUAACACGUGGAUAACCUACCUAUAAGACUGGGAUAACUUCGGGAAGCCGGAGCUAAUACCGGAUAAUAUAUUGAACCGCAUGGUUCAAUAGUGAAAGACGGUUUUGCUGUCACUUAUAGAUGGAUCCGCGCCGCAUUAGCUAGUUGGUAAGGUAACGGCUUACCAAGGCAACGAUGCGUAGCCGACCUGAGAGGGUGAUCGGCCACACUGGAACUGAGACACGGUCCAGACUCCUACGGGAGGCAGCGGUAGGGAAUCUUCCGCAAUGGGCGAAAGCCUGACGGAGCAACGCCGCGUGAGUGAUGAAGGUCUUCGAAUCGUAAAACUCUGUUAUUAGGGAAGAACAAAUGUGUAAGUAACUAUGCACGUCUUGACGGUACCUAAUCAGAAAGCCACGGCUAACUACGUG